GACGAACGCUGGCGGCGUGCUUAACACAUGCAAGUCGAACGGAAAGGCCCUGCUUUUGUGGGGUGCUCGAGUGGCGAACGGGUGAGUAACACGUGAGUAACCUGCCCUUGACUUUGGGAUAACUUCAGGAAACUGGGGCUAAUACCGGAUAGGAGACCCUGCUGCAUGGUGGGGGUUGGAAAGUUUCGGCGGUUGGGGAUGGACUCGCGGCUUAUCAGCUUGUUGGUGGGGUAGUGGCUUACCAAGGCUUUGACGGGUAGCCGGCCUGAGAGGGUGACCGGCGACAUUGGGACUGAGAUACGGCCCAGAGUCCUACAGGAGGCAGCAGUGGGGAAUAUUGCACAAUGGGCGGGAGCCUGAUGCAGCAGCGCCGCGUGCGGGAUGACGGCCUUCUGGUUGUGAACCGCUUUCGCCUGUGACGAAGCGUGAGUGACGGUAAUGGGUAAAGAAGCACCGGCUAACUACGUG
rnacentral:rRNA from 1 species